GUGGGACUAAAAGAGCUGCAUAGAAAAUCUAAAGCUAGAUCCCUUGCAUUCUCCGCAGUGAAGCAGGAUUCCUACAGUCAAGGAUCUCCUUCACUGCAUAACCCUGAUUCAUGCACAGAGCAGAUCCCGUGAAUCCCAUGGAAGGAGCUGUGAAAAAAACAGAAUAAAUGGUGCCCACAAAGCUUGCACCCAUGAAAACAGAUUCCAUGCCUGAGUACCUGACCUGAGGGUUCAGCCAGCAGAAGAAGCCCUGCCCCUGAGGCUCUGCAGAACAUACUCCACCUGGAAGUCAGGUAUAAAAGCUUGCAGAGCUGUUCAGUCAGGGCAGACUGCAGGAGGGGAAGGAGGUUCAUCACUCUCUCCAGCAGAAGAGUGGCCCGCACACCAGGACGCAGAGGCCAGAUGCGCUGCAGAGGGGAAGCAGAGGACGCCGCGGACCUGGUUGAAUCCAAGGAAGAGCAGGGCAUUUGGAUCAUACCACCUUCCAAAGGACGCAACAUUAUUUAAUCCUCUUUAUCUUUCUAGUCACAUUUUUUUCUUUUUCCACAAGAAAAGAUGGGAUUAGCUGUGUAGUCAUCAUAAUGUCACAAGUAUAGUCUCUGCUGUUGAAGGGAGCCUCUUGUCUAUGGUGGUCAAGAUCUCACUGGUAACACAAGCCUCACUAUUCUGGAUGGCAUGUACGGACACUUGUAUGCCAAAUAAAAAAGAACAAUGGAGAAAAAUUGUUUGCAGUCAGUUUGCGCUGCCAAGAAAACAGACUGUAUUAUACAGGGUGCCUGCCUGCGAAGCCAAUUAAUAUGUACCACUUGGGGAGCGUUUCAAAAUGCAUGGAAUAUGAAAACAAACACCGCAAGAAGGCAAGCCAAGAUGAAGCAACACACCUCCACAGUAGUAAUACCUGUGAUCACUAUAGUGCCUUUCAUCAACACAUCCAAAACUGACAAACUUCACAAACUCUGGACCAAAUCUGGUGUAUCUUUCUUACACAGGUUGUCCCAUUUGCUAUCUAUGGAGUGAUCCCUGUGCCUGUCUGUACUUAAUCUAUCCAUCCUUUCAAACAGUACUGUACUAUGCUUGCUUUAUCCAUUACUAAAAUGCAGCCACCUCUCAAACAGAAGUCAGCAGACUUUAAACAUCACAUAGCAACACUCCACACCAAAUCAGAGUAGAGUGAAUACCUUUUCCAGUCAAAGAUACAGGGGAUUCUAUUCAAGCCCUACAGUAGCCAAAUACUUCUCACUGAAGUCAAUGGGAGUUAUUCAGAUAGGGCUCAAUCCAGCCCCCACUGAAGUCAAUGGCCGUAUUCCCACUGAAUUCAACAGUGCAGGUUGACCCGAGAGUGCCGCAGACAAGCAGGACCCAGGGAAUUAUAGUCUGGCAGAAUUUGAUCACGCAGUUGGAAUCCCAUGAAAACUGAUUUUUCUUCAACCCCCCUUUUUCAGAUAAUUAAACAUACUAACCAAUUUUGUAACUACUGGGUACUCACAAUAGAAGUGAUACAACUCUGAAAUUCUAAAUGUAGUUGGGGAUUUUAAUAAGCUUCCAAAUGAGAGAAUAAAGGGGGAAACAAACAAAUUAAUGCCAUAGGGCCAAAUUCUGAUCUCAGUUACAAGUGAAAAGACUGCCACUGAUGAUGAUGUUAUUACUGCAGAUUUAUACUGAUGUAACUGAGAGAAGAAUCUGCCCUGCUAGUUACCAGAUAUUACAGAUCACAGUUUUCUAUUUUGGAUUUCACGUGGGUCAGGGAUUCAGUCAACUAAUUUGUUUGUAGAAGUUUUGCAUUCUUGUAUUGUUAAUGUUCCCUGAGUUUUUUGCUUUGGGGCAUUACAA